UUAGGACCUGGACAUUUGAAGGAGUGCCUCCUUCCAUGUAUACCUGCCUGGCCCCUAAGAUCCGGGUCAGAGGCCCUUCUUUGGGAG